CAGGACGACGCUGGCGGCGUGCUUAACACAUGCAAGUCGAACGGGAGGAGGAGAAAAGCUUGCUUUUUUCCAAAUCUAGUGGCAAACGGGUGAGUAACACGUAAACAACCUGCCUUCAGGAUGGGGACAACAGACGGAAACGACUGCUAAUACCGAAUACGCUCUAGAUACCGCAUGGUAACUAGAGGAAAGGGUGGCCUCUACUUGUAAGCUAUCGCCUGGAGAGGGGUUUGCGUCUGAUUAGGUAGUUGGUGAGGUAACGGCUCACCAAGCCGACGAUCAGUAGCCGGUCUGAGAGGAUGAACGGCCACACUGGAACUGAGACACGGUCCAGACUCCUACGGGAGGCAGCAGUGGGGAAUCUUCCGCAAUGGACGAAAGUCUGACGGAGCAACGCCGCGUGAGUGAUGACGGCCUUCGGGUUGUAAAGCUCUGUGAUUGGGGACGAAAGGUACGAUUGCUAAUACCAAUUGUAAUUGACUGUACCCAAAAAGCAAGCCACGGCUAACUACGUGCC
rnacentral:rRNA from 1 species